GACGAACGCUGGCGGCGUGCUUAACACAUGCAAGUCGAACGGAAAGGCCCUGCUCUUGUGGGGUGCUCGAGUGGCGAACGGGUGAGUAACACGUGAGUAACCUGCCCUUGACUUUGGGAUAACUUCAGGAAACUGGGGCUAAAAUAGGAUAGGAGCUCCUGCUGCAUGGUGGGGGUUGGAAAGUUUCGGCGGUUGGGGAUGGACUCGAGGGUUAUCAGCUUGUUGGUGGGGUAGUGGCUUACGAAGGCUUUGACGGGUAGCCGGCAUGAGAGGGUGGACGGCCACAAUGGGACUGAGAUACGGCCCAGACUCCUACGGGAGGCAGCAGUGGAGAAUAUUGCACAAUGGGCGGAAGCCUGAUGCAGCAACGCCGCGUGCGGGAUGACGGCCUUCGGGUUGUAAACCGCUUUCGCCUGUGACGAAGCGGGAGUGACGGUAAUGGGUAAAGAAGCACCGGCUAACUACGUG
rnacentral:rRNA from 1 species